UACGGGGGGGGCAAGCGUUGUUCGGAAUUACUGGGCGUAAAGGGCUCGUAGGCGGCCAACUAAGUCGGAUGUGAAAUCCCCAGGCUUAACCUGGGAACUGCAUCCGAUACUGGAUGGCUUGAAUCCGGGAGAGGGAUGCAGAAUUCCAGGUGUAGCGGUGAAAUGCGUAGAUAUCUGGAGGAAUACCGGUGGCGAAGGCGACUCACUGGACACAUAUUGACGCUGAGGUGCGAAAGCGUGGGGAGCAAACAGG
rnacentral:rRNA from 1 species